rnacentral:lncRNA from 1 species
CGUCAGCAGACAGCGUUCCCACUAGAAUCUGACCAUCGUUGUCUGGGCUUCCAGGAUAACCUGGGUGAGCCGCGCUCUCUGGCAUUUCUGGGGCCUGGCUCUUCUCCCUGCUCCGCCAGUGGUUCCCGGGGAAUCAGUCAGAUCCCGGGCUGCGGCCUGGGCAUGAUGAGAUCACGUCCAAGUUUCCCACAGCCCAGCAAUUCGCUCUGACUUGCCCCCCGCGUUAUUGCAACAUCUCGACCCUUCCGAGCUUCAGACCUGCCAGGAAACGGGGUAGGGUUUUGUUUGUUUGUUUGUUUGUUUUGGGGUUUUGUUUGUUGUUUUCUGUUUUCUGUGUUUUGGGGUUUUUUUUUAAGUAUUUAUUCCAGGAUGGCUCCAUUGGUGGGGUGCGAGAGUGACUCAGAGUGCCUUGCGAGCCACCUCCAAAGGGAACUAUGUCCCACAGGCCGGCGCGUCCUCUGCGCCAACUCCCCACCCUGGUAAAAACAAAAACAAAAGCUCACGAGGGCUGCAAACACCCACUUGAAGAACACGUGCUUAUGGAGUGGUGUUCUCCAAGGGCACGCAAGCUGCCGCCGGGAAGGCCGCCGAGGGCAGAAAGGAAAGCGAGUUCUGCGCUGUUGCGUGGGGCAGAGAAGGAGCGUGUGCUCGACGUCUCGAGAGGCUCCUUCUCAGCCUGGCAGCGAUUUCUUGAUCUUAGAGCGUAAGGUCCUAGGAAGCUUAGAGAUGGUGAUUUGGUUUGGGUCCCCACAUAAUCGUGGGCAUCAUAUACCAGAACAGUUUUGCCUAGCAAGAUCGGGGGCGGGGGGGGAGGGCGCACCGGGAGACGGUUUGGGAACCGGAUAGAUACAAAGGCAGAUUCAAUAAAGACGCUUCCUCUUUCUCGACGUUGACAAAGCAGGGGAUGUGUCACACGGCACCUUCGCAUCUCCUAACGGCGGGUCCCACGGCUGCUGACGCAGACGGAAGAGAAACUCGGAGGAGAUGCCGUCCCAGAUGUAAAGGGGUGAACUCUCUCUUCCUCUGACCUCGACAGAAGUCCGAGGAGGAAGACUCAACUCUCUCUUAUCUAAAGGGUGAGUCCAGCUGCCACGGGAGAUUUCGAAACCUCUCUCCCCACGCAGGGGUGGACAUCCCCACGGGGUCCAGAGAGCCCGCCCGAGUGCAGUUCAGGUCGCUUCUCUUACACGCUCUCCUCAAGCGCACAACCCGUCCCAGACCCGAGAUGCUCCCGUCACCUACCCAAUACCCCCCCCCCCCCCCCCACCUUCUGGGGCUUGCCUUCAACUUGUUUCAUCCCUCGCUGUCACAGUUGUCACCUUAUCACCUGCACGACUUUUCCCUUGAAUCUCCUUCUGGCCGGUUUGGAAGAUGGGGCCCUAAACGAAGUUCACGCCUUCCCUCUCUCCGGCCCGUGGUCUGUGCUCCUCGGCUGCAGCCACGCUAGCUGAACGCACCAGGCGCACAUCCGCCUCAGGGCCUUGGCGCGUGCUGUUCCCCCCACCACGAGCGCUCUGUGUCACCCACGUGGCUCCCUCACUCCCUUCCUCGGGGUCUUUACCCACACGCCCACUCAUCAGUGACCUGUCCCCCACCACUCUCUUCCGAGCUCCCGCCCACGCGUGGUUUCCCACGAGCUUAUCUCCCCCUUGUCUCCUUCCUUAUCUGCCUCGCCCACUGGAAUGCCAGCUUCACGCGGGCAGGGACUUCUGACUCUCUCUGUCCUCUGUCACAGCCCGGUGCCCACGGCGGCGCUCAGCGUAUCCACGCCGCGAGAGUUACUGGGCGUUCGCGGCUCGCCUGCGAUUGAGGAAUUCUACGUUCCUCAAGCUGAAGGCCGCUUCGUGCCUCCUGGGCCCUCGGAGAGAUCGGAGGAGUUGGGCCAAGGCCUCCCUCCCUCCCUCCUCCUCCUCACCGCCCUUUUGAGGCUGUACAUUCUGCUUCCCCGACAGACGCAGGAAAGUGGGGUCGUUCUAGAGGGAGACGGAGCCUUCCCCGAUUUAGGAACACAGGUGUUGGCCCCGUCGGGGCCAAAGGCUCCCGCGUCUCUAGGAGCUCCUGGGAGGAAAUUCAUCUGAAAUGUGCUCACCCUCCCUGGUGGGGAACGGGGCUGUGGGCGAGGCAGCCCAUGCGGGCAGGCGGCCCUUACACAGGCUUUCCAGAAAGAGCUGGAAAGCAGAUACCCGAGCCACAGGAAAAAGAAUGACCUCUUGCAGCCAAGAGCCUGACUGGAAAGUCCGCGUAAAGGACACCUGGAGGAAGUGGGGGGCUCCAUCACCUCCUCCGCCCGCCCAUAACCCUUUCUUCCUCACUCGGCCGCCCCGCACAUCCGCCUUCCCGGAGGCUCACCCCAUCUUUGCCGUUCGAGAGCUCACUGGGUUCUCCCAACACAUCAGAGCUUUUUUUUUUCUUUUCCCUUUUUCUUUUCUUUCUUUUUUUUUUUUUUUUUUUCAUCUUGUUUGAAAAGCCUUUUGUGAGGUUGGGAGUGACCCAAAAGUCGCCUCUCUAUUCCUGUCUGAGGAGAGAGUAUUUCCAGAUCGGAGGCGCGGUCUGCAGGGCCCGGGCCAGGCGUCCAUGAAUACCGGAUUAUGCCUCCUACCCCAGUCUCCUAAGCGUGUGCCAGCCACAGUUCCAGAAUGAACCAUAAGCGGAGAAAAAAAAAAUUUGUGAAUCAAGAGGUUUAUUAUUUUCUCCCAGUAAGGAUUUUGAAACCCAGAUUUCCACAUUUUUAAGGGUUUGAUGUCAUAAAAUUCCCAUGUAUGAUUACAUUUUAAAAAACAGAGUCAUUGUGUGUGUGUGUGUUGGAACGUAAGAGGUUUAGCAUACAACUCAGAAAAUGAAUUCCUAAACCCAGAGUUUGAAAGGCACAGACACAACGGGCCAUCGAGCUGGGCAUCUGCUACAACGAAUCCAUGGGAUGUUAAGUCUGUUGUCCUGGAACCAUCUGGAAAUUAAAUGUUAGUCUUCUGAAAAGAACCGGGACCUCCAAAUGUUGUUGUUACUCUGAGUGCAGUGUAAGCAGGUUUCUAUUUAAAACUUUCACACCGGCUACUUGAAUAUUUCUUGUUCUCCGAAGGGUACCCUCUAUACCUCUUGGAUUCUUUUCCACCUUCCCUUUUCCAUGUUAAUUUGGUUUAAUCCCACCUGCUGGCACGAAGGGAAAGAUAUUUAUGAACAUCAUCUAUAGGGGCGCCUGGGUGGCUCAAUCAGUUAAGCAUCCGACUUUGGCUCAGGUCAUGAUCUCACGGUCCGUGAGUUCAAGCCCCGUGUUGGGCUCUGUGCUGACGGCUCAGAUCCUGGAGCCUGCUUUGGAUUCUGCCUCCCCCUCUCUCUGCCCCUCCCCUGCUUGCGCUCUGUCUCUCAAAAGUAAGUAGAUAUUUUAAAAUUCUGUAUAUAAAAAAAGUCUUCUGUAAAAGGAGCUGGGGAGUUGUGUGGUUUUUCACCUUUGCUGCUGCAACCAGACUUAGGUGGAGACCAGACAGUCCUCCAGCAGUGAGGGGUGGAGAGGGCCUGGGAGAUGGGGAGGAAAGAGUGUGUCCCUGCCUUUAUGUUAAAGAGAAGGCAAGACAUUGCCCAACACAGUUACACCUUAGCAGACUACUCUAGCAAGGCCCUUGGAUGCCCCCUUGGGUCCCAGGGUGCCUAAUCUAAAUAAACUCCAGAUCUGUCAACACUGGCUUGGGCCCGGGAAACCAGACCAGCCCUC